AUUGAACGCUGGCGGCAUGCCUUACACAUGCAAGUCGAACGGUAACAGGUCUUCGGAUGCUGACGAGUGGCGAACGGGUGAGUAAUACAUCGGAACGUGCCUAGUAGUGGGGGAUAACUACUCGAAAGAGUGGCUAAUACCGCAUGAGAUCUACGGAUGAAAGAAGGGGAUCGCAAGACCUUGUGCUACUAAAGCGGCCGAUGGCAAGUUAGGUAGUUGGUGGGAUAAAAGCUUACCAAGCCGACGAUCUGUAGCUGGUCUGAGAGGACGAUCAGCCACACUGGGACUGAGACACGGCCCAGACUCCUACGGGAGGCAGCAGUGGGGAAUUUUGGACAAUGGGCGAAAGCCUGAUCCAGCAAUGCCGCGUGCAGGAUGAAGGCCUUCGGGUUGUAAACUGCUUUUGUACGGAACGAAAAGCCCCGGGUUAAUACCCUGGGGUCAUGACGGUACCGUAAGAAUAAGCACCGGCUAACUACGUGCCAGCCGCCGCGGUAA
rnacentral:rRNA from 1 species